UUUGCAUCGAGGAAAAAGGUUGAGAUUUUGGCCAAGGCAAGAAAUCAACUUUUACAGUCUGACUUCCGUCUUCCUGAGGAUGGCACUGGGAGAAACUCUAAAGUUAAGAAUGAUGAUAAUGCUGAAAGUUCAUCUGACCUUGUUGUCGAUUUGCUUUUUACAUCUGAGAGAUGUGUGGUGUCUGAAGCAGCGUCACAACUAAUGAAGUUAGUUCAUGAAACACUCAAGGAUGCUUGCUUGUCAUCUUCUAG
rnacentral:misc_RNA from 1 species